rnacentral:rRNA from 1 species
UAGGGAAUCUUCGGCAAUGGGGGCAACCCUGACCGAGCAACGCCGCGUGAGUGAAGAAGGUUUUCGGAUCGUAAAGCUCUGUUGUAAGAGAAGAACGUGUGUGAGAGUGGAAAGUUCACACAGUGACGGUAACUUACCAGAAAGGGACGGCUAACUACGUGCCAGCAGCCGCGGUAAUACGUAGGUCCCGAGCGUUGUCCGGAUUUAUUGGGCGUAAAGCGAGCGCAGGCGGUUUAAUAAGUCUGAAGUUAAAGGCAGUGGCUUAACCAUUGUUCGCUUUGGAAACUGUUAAACUUGAGUGCAGAAGGUGAGAGUGGAAUUCCAUGUGUAGCGGUGAAAUGCGUAGAUAUAUGGAGGAACACCGGUGGCGAAAGUGGCUCUCUGGUCUGUAACUGACGCUGAGGCUCGAAAGCGUGGGGAGCAAACAGG